GAUGAACGCUGGCGGCGUGCCUAAUACAUGCAAGUCGAGCGAACAGACGAGGAGCUUGCUCCUCUGACGUUAGCGGCGGACGGGUGAGUAACACGUGGAUAACCUACCUAUAAGACUGGGAUAACUUCGGGAAACCGGAGCUAAUACCGGAUAAUAUAUUGAACCGCAUGGUUCAAUAGUGAAAGACGGUUUUGCUGUCACUUAUAGAUGGAUCCGCGCCGCAUUAGCUAGUUGGUAAGGUAACGGCUUACCAAGGCAACGAUGCGUAGCCGACCUGAGAGGGUGAUCGGCCACACUGGAACUGAGACACGGUCCAGACUCUUACGGGAGGCAGCAGUAGGGAAUCUUCCGCAAUGGGCGAAAGCCUGACGGAGCAACGCCGCGUGAGUGAUGAAGGUCUUCGGAUCGUAAAGCUCUGUUAUUAGGGAAGAACAAAUGUGUAAGUAACUAUGCACGUCUUGACGGUACCUAAUCAGAAAGCCACGGCUAACUACGUG
rnacentral:rRNA from 1 species